AACGAACGCUGGCGGCAUGCCUAACACAUGCAAGUCGAACGAUGCUUUCGGGCAUAGUGGCGCACGGGUGCGUAACGCGUGGGAAUCUGCCCUUGGGUUCGGUAUAACAGAGAGAAAUUGCUGCUAAUACCGGUUGAUGUCUUCGGACCAAAGAUUUAUCGCCCAGGGAUGAGCCCGCGUAGGAUUAGCUAGUUGGUGGUGUAAUGGCCUGCCAAGGCGACGAUCCUUAGCUGGUCUGUGAGGAUGAUCAGCCACACUGGGAAUGAGACACGGCCCAGACUCCUACGGGAGGCAGCAGUGGGGAAUAUUGUACAAUGGGCGCAAGCCUGAUCCAGCAAUGCCGCGUGAGUGAUGAAGGGCUUAGGGUUGUAAAGCUCUUUUACCCGGGAUGAUAAUGACAGUAACGGGAGAAUAAGCUCCGGCUAACUACGUG
rnacentral:rRNA from 1 species